rnacentral:rRNA from 1 species
UACGAAGGGGGCUAGCGUUGUUCGGAAUUACUGGGCGUAAAGGGCGCGUAGGCGGUGUGUCAAGUCAGGCGUGAAAGCCCCGGGCUCAACCUGGGAACCGCGCUUGAGACUGGCACGCUAGAGUUCGGGAGAGGAUGGUGGAAUUCCCAGUGUAGAGGUGAAAUUCGUAGAUAUUGGGAAGAACACCGGUGGCGAAGGCGGUUCUCUGGGCCUGUACUGACGCUGAGGAACGAAAGCGUGGGGAGCGAACAGG